rnacentral:sRNA from 1 species
AUGUACAUAAGUACACUCUGGUUCCUCCGUUCCGUCCUCACCCAAACUCCCUUCGCUCGCUACGUUUUUGAGGCC